UUAUUUGCAAAAUUACAUUGUAAAUCCACAUGGGAACAGGAGUACCAGAAAUGGUUCAUAAUAUGCCCGUCACAAGCUUGUUAUUUGUAUUUUUUUUUUCUAUUAAGGUUUGAGAUGCCAGAAAUGGUUCAUAAUAUGCCCGUCACAAGCUUGUUAUUUGUAUUUUUUUUCUAUUAAGGUCCGAGAUUUUAAGUUCCACCAUAAACUUUACCUGGUCAAAGUUGAAAGAAUUGCUGCUUGUCAGUCAAGAUGAAAAACAAUGAGAUGAUGAAAAUUGACAGAGGUUUGUGAAAAGAAGUCAAUUAUUACUCAGAUAACGUUACUUCCACUGACUCUCACCUUCACAGUUUUCUUUGCCAUCAAUGGAACAAACUAUUAUGGUGAAGUUUUGGAUGGGACCAACUCGGUGUGUCUGACAGCUGUAGGUGUUCCACUUGAACAACAUGGUUUCGUUGUUGGAUUUCUGGUCAUCCUCUAAUACAAGAUUGACCUUAACUGGAUCCCUUGGCACUGAAGGAAAAUUUAGGUUUCAAAUGUUUCUUAAGAGCAUGUCUACAGUAAAACCCUGCAAAAUGUGAAUAAAUGUCCACUAGCAA